UACUCCGCCGGCGACCGGCGCACGGGUGCGUAACGCGUAUGCAACCUACCUUUAACAGGGGCAUAACACUGAGAAAUUGGUACUAACUCCCCAUAACAUUCGAGAAGGCAUCUUCUUGGGUUAAAAACUCCGGUGGUUAAAGAUGGGCAUGCGUUGUAUUAGCUAGUUGGUGAGGUAACGGCUCACCAAGGCAACGAUACAUAGGGGGACUGAGAGGUUAACCCCCCACAUUGGUACUGAGACACGGCCAA
rnacentral:rRNA from 1 species